rnacentral:rRNA from 1 species
GGAAGUAAAAAAUCGUAACAAGGUUUCCGUAGGUGAACCUGCGGAAGGAUCAUUACCGAGUGCGGGUCCUUUGGGCCCAACCUCCCAUCCGUGUCUAUUAUACCCUGUUGCUUCGGCGGGCCCGCCGCUUGUCGGCCGCCGGGGGGGCGCCUUUGCCCCCCGGGCCCGUGCCCGCCGGAGACCCCAACACGAACACUGUCUGAAAGCGUGCAGUCUGAGUUGAUUGAAUGCAAUCAGUUAAAACUUUCAACAAUGGAUCUCUUGGUUCCGGCAUCGAUGAAGAACGCAGCGAAAUGCGAUAACUAAUGUGAAUUGCAGAAUUCAGUGAAUCAUCGAGUCUUUGAACGCACAUUGCGCCCCCUGGUAUUCCGGGGGGCAUGCCUGUCCGAGCGUCAUUGCUGCCCUCAAGCCCGGCUUGUGUGUUGGGUCGCCGUCCCCCUCUCCGGGGGGACGGGCCCGAAAGGCAGCGGCGGCACCGCGUCCGAUCCUCGAGCGUAUGGGGCUUUGUCACAUGCUCUGUAGGAUUGGCCGGCGCCUGCCGACGUUUUCCAACCAUUUUCCAGGUGACCUCGGAUCAGGUAGAAGCCCACC